AAUAGAUACCCUGGUAGUCCACGCCGUAAACGAUGGAUGCUAGCUGUUAGGAGUAUCGACCCUCCUAGUAGCGUAGCUAACGCGUUAAGCAUCCCGCCUGUGGAGUACGGUCGCAAGACUAAAACAUAAAGGAAUUGACGGGGACCCGCACAAGCGGUGGAGCGUGUUGUUUAAUUCGAUGGUAAGCGAAGAACCUUACCCAGGCUUGACAUCCUGUUAAUCACUCCGAAAGGAGAGAGUGCCUUCGGGCCGCAGUGACAGGUGAUGCAUGGCCGUCGUCAGCUCGUGUCGUGAGAUGUUUGGUUAAGUCCAUCAACGAGCGCAACCCUUAUAGUUAGUUGUAUUUCUCUAGCUAGACUGCCCUGGUAACAGGGAGGAAGGAGGGGAUGAUGUCAGGUCAGUAUCUCCCUUACGUCUGGGGCUACAAACACGCUACAAUGGCCGGUACAAAGGGCAGCCAACCCGCGAGGGGGAGCAAAUCCCAUCAAAGCCGGUCUCAGUUCGGAUUGCAGGCUGAAACUCG
rnacentral:rRNA from 1 species